UGCCAGCCGCCGCGGUAAUACGGAGGGUGCAAGCGUUGCUCGGAAUUACUGGGCGUAAAGCGUCCGCAGGCGGGCGUUCAGGUCGGAUGUGAAAGCCCGGGGCUCAACCCCGGAACUGCAUCCGAGACCGGACACCUUGAGUACGGGAGAGGGAAGCGGAAUUCCUGGUGUAGAGGUGAAAUUCGUAGAUAUCAGGAGGAACACCAGCGGCGAAAGCGGCUUUCUGGCCCGAUACUGACGCUCAUGGACGAAAGCGUGGGGAGCAAACAGGAUUAGAUA
rnacentral:rRNA from 1 species